rnacentral:ncRNA from 1 species
AGGUAAACAACGAGAGUAACUAUGACUCUCUUAAGGAAGCCAUAUGCCUUGUCAUCUUAUGAGUAACGCUCAUGAAUGGAUCAUUAAUGAGAUUCCCCACUAUCCCUAGAUACUAUAUUCUAAAGAAACCACAUCCAAGGGAAUGGGCUUGGCAGAAUUAGUGGGGAAACAAGACCAUUUUGAGCUUGACUCUAGUCCUAACCCAUUCAUAGUUUGAUAAAAUUAGGGCAUAGUUUGGGAAAAUGAGACCAUAAUAUUUGUCUUUGGGGUUCAAAUUGAUGAUGGAAACAAGUGGAUGUGUCAGUCAAAUUAGAGUCCAUAAACCCUCCCAUAUCGUUAAGGCAUGUGAAUAGUCUAUCUAAGAUCAUGAUGGUAUAAAAAUGAAUGAGCUUCUCUUGGUUUCAAGAAUAAUUUAUCCUCUAUUGAACAAGGCCAA